AGUGAACGCUGGCGGUAUGCCUAACACAUGCAAGUCGAACGGCAGCACAGUAAGAGCUUGCUCUUACGGGUGGCGAGUGGCGGACGGGUGAGGAAUACAUCGGAAUCUACUUUUUCGUGGGGGAUAACGUAGGGAAACUUACGCUAAUACCGCAUACGACCUACGGGUGAAAGCAGGGGAUCUUCUGACCUUGCGCGAUUGAAUGAGCCGAUGUCGGCUUAGCUAGUUGGCGGGGUAAAGGCCCACCAAGGCGCCGAUCCGUAGCUGGUCUGAGAGGAUGAUCACCGACACUGGAACGGAGACACGGUCCAGACGACUACGGGAGGCAGCAGUGGGGAAUAGUGGACAAAGGGCGCAAGCCUGAUCCAGCCAUACCGCGUGGGUGAAGAAGGCCUUCGGGUUGUAAAGCCCUUUUGUUGGGAAAGAAAAGCAGCAGGUUAAUACCCCGCUGUUCUGACGGUACCCAAAGAAUAAGCACCGGCUAACUUCGUG
rnacentral:rRNA from 1 species